CUACGUAGGUGGCAAGCGUUGUCCGGAACUAUUGGGCGUAAAGCGCGCGCAGGUGGUUCCUUAAGUCUGAUGUGAAAGCCCCCGGCUCAACCGGGGAGGGUCAUUGGAAACUGGGGAACUUGAGUGCAGAAGAGGAUAGUGGAAUUCCAAGUGUAGCGGUGAAAUGCGUAGAGAUUUGGAGGAACACCAGUGGCGAAGGCGACUGUCUGGUCUGUAAAUGACACUGAGGCGCGAAAGCGUGGGGAGCAAACAGGAUUAGAUACCCUGGUAGGCCACGCCGUAAACGAUGAGUGCUAAGUGUUGGGGGGUUUCCGCCCCUCAGUGCUGCAGCUAACGCAUUAAGCACUCCGCCUGGGGAAUACGGUCGCAAGACUGAAACUCAAAGGAAUUGACGGGG
rnacentral:rRNA from 1 species